AAAAAGUUUCUACGAAACAAUACGGUAGAAGAUAAUAAAAUAGUACAGUCGAGUUCGUCUGGAGAGCACCCGGCGUCAAACGAAGAAACAUUAGAAAAAAAUUCAGAAGAAUUAAAAAAGAUCAACAAAAUGGAAUGGUUUAUGCAAACAAAGGACAGUUAUAACCACAUCAAAGUCAACCAAGACGCUCCUGAACUAAAUGAUCUUAUUCCAGCUGUAAACGAAGAUACUAUACGCAAAUGGUGGUUUUAUAAUGCGGAGGACUACAUACCAUUUCAAACUUGAAAACUAAAUCAUUGAAAUUCUUAUUAUUUUAUAUGAAUAUUUAAACGUAUGAAAUAAUAAUGCUGAUAU